rnacentral:rRNA from 1 species
GACGAAGGUGGCGAGCGUUGUUCGGAAUCACUGGGCAUAAAGCGCACGUAGGCGGUGCCGUAAGUCGGAUGUGAAAUCCCUCGGCUCAACUGAGGAUCGUCGAUCGAUACUGCCGUUCUUGAGGAUUGCAGAGGAGACUGGAAUUCCCGGUGUAGCGGUGAAAUGCGUAGAUAUCAGGAGGAACACCGAUGGCGAAGGCAGGUCUCUGGGCUGACACUGACGCUCAUGCACGAAAGCGUGGGGAGCAAACAGG